CGGCGCUGUGCAGCGCUGCUGGUUCAUCCUCUCCAGGUCCCUGGAAAAUGCCUCACCGAGGCUCAGCAUUUCUUCUUCUCCUAUGGGAUGGGUGGACGUACAAGAGAAGCUGGAACUGGAGGGUGUGUUCAUCCUUCCUCUUGCCAAGUCAGUCCCCAGCUGAAUGCUGCAGCCUCUCGAGGUGUUCUGACACGAGAGCCAGCUCCUAGUGAUUUAGUGCCUCUGAGCCGCAGCCAGAUAAUGAUCUUUCCAGGUAGCACCUGGUGCUUCCCUGCUCCCUGGAGCCGAAGGUGGCAAAACCAGCACUGCUUGGCCAGCAUUAAGUGGUAUUUCAGCACCAGGCAGGAGGAAGCAAACAGCUGUCCGUUUUCACUCAGGAUGGCCAGGCCGGGCUAUACAGAUUUUAUUAUAAGCUCUGAACCAGCAGAACCUGUGUACUGGCCUCAGGAACAAGAUGAGCUGGUUCUUCAUAAUUGUAAAAUUAUUUUUUAUUAAAAUAUAAUUGUAAAAUCUGUUGCCAAAAGAAAAAUAAUAGAAAAAUAAAUCCUCAAAUCCUGCAAAUGCAAGACUGAGCUUUCAUGGUUGGACGAAGAAAAGAGCAGGGAUGGAAAUGGGGAGCCAUGCCUCCCUUCCCUUGAAGCUGCCUGUGAGCGAUGCUCUCGCCGUGGCCCAGCUGCACGGCUUGUGCUUACGCAGACACAGUGGGCACUGCUGAGCGGCUCCGGUACCCACUGCACCCAGCAUCCACAGCCCCCCACAACACACUGCCUUCUGCUGCUUCCACAUCAUCUGGAGGAGACUGGCGGCUGGUGGGCCACAGGCAGCCUGCGGAGACAGGAGUGACAUGGGGUGCAGCCGGCUCACCCCCCGAGAGCCAGCUCCGCCACCGCUUCUGGGCAUCCCGUGCCAGUGCAGGUGUUCACUGGAGAGGCUGGGAGGAGAGGGGAGGAAAAUGAAUCAGACUUCAGCAACCUGCUAAGAUCCCCUUCGGUGGGAACAGACCUUGUUGCUGUGGUGUACCAUAUGAGUUCAAGCCUUUUCAAUGUUUGAUUUGCUAAUGAAAAGUAAAGUUCUUCAAAGCGCUUUGCUGUGACCCCCUUUACGGCUCUUCUAGCGCACGUUUCCUACCUGGGUAAUUUAUAUGGGCAGCUGGGCUGCAGCUCAGGCUCUGCCCGCUGCUCCUUGCGGUCCUUGGGAGAGGGCUGCUGCUCGCUCCC